UACGUAGGGGGCAAGCGUUGUCCGGAAUCAUUGGGCGUAAAGCGCGCGUAGGCGGCCAGAUAAGUCCGGUGUGAAAGUCAAAGGCUCAACCUUUGAAUGCCGCUGGAAGCUGUCUGGCUUGAGUCCGGAAGGGGCGAGUGGAAUUCCUGGUGUAGCGGUGAAAUGCGCAGAUAUCAGGAGGAACACCGGUGGCGGAGGCGGGUCUCUGGGAAGUAACUGACGCUGAGAAGCGAAAGCAUGGGUAGCAAACAGG
rnacentral:rRNA from 1 species